rnacentral:lncRNA from 1 species
AUUUAUAAAUUUCGCACGUUGCUAUUUCCACAUUCAGAUAAUUGUCUACAAAUCACGAGAGAAUCUCAAUUUAUUAAUUGACAAAGAGAAUUUCAUAGCAUAUCUAUAAGUAACAACAAUCAUUCAAGUUUUAUUCAUUAAACUUGCUAAAGAGUCAUUCGUCUAGUAUUUCGUUUUUACACUGAUCUCAAUUGAAUAUCGCGUAACAUUAUAUCUUAUGAUGAUGGAUAAUUUCAAAAAGAGUUAUGAGCUGUCUAAGAUUAUCAAGAUCGAGGCAGUAAACAUUAAAAUAAAUAAAUUAAUUGAAUUAGAUAUUACUUUAACAGCACAAAGUCUCUAAAUCGACUCUGAGUCGAUUAUAGCUUCUAGACGUCUAAAAAAUGGACGUCCGUAAAUCGACUUUAGACGACUUGGAGACGUCUCUAAGUCAUACAAAUCCCACUUUAAAGACGACUGUAAGCCGACUUUAAGUCAACUAUUCUAGGCUGUGGUUCAAUUCAUGCCCAUAACGCUCAUGAACAGCAUUCAUCCCUGUUUAACUAUAGUUCAACAACAAGGACAAAAUGAUUCCACAUUUAAGCUUUGUGAGCGUAAAUCGCACUAGAUGUCCUAAAGUCGAUAUUCAUCGGAAGGACAUCUGUACAAAGUCGACUCUAAAGGUUUGACUUAGCAAAGUCAACUUACAAUCGACGUAUCGAUGUUUAUACUGUUAGUAGAUGCGUAAAUCAUUUCAGUAUUCUUUCUUUUCAUAUCAAGACUUUGAGCGACGUGCGCGGGUAUCCUUUCUAAGCGGGUAUCCGACGAGUGUUGACAGAGUCCCGAAAGUGAAGCAAAGCACGUCAAACAAUAGCUGCGUUCAGCUCAACAGUUGAGUAAGCGCUCGCUGUUAUUGGUGUAGUCUUUUAGAACAUCCAAUCAGCAUUUUAGAUCUGGAAGAAUAUAUCAAUAGCAACGAGCGCUCACUCAAUUGUUGAGUCCGCUGAACGCAGUCAUUAACAUUCUUACAAGCCAGAUAUCUAGGCAGACUGCCCGGAGUCAAAGUUUCAGCGAUGUUCAUAUACUCGCGAAAAGCAAGUCUCAUCCGGACGAAACAGUGUCACAUUACAGUUAUAUUGUUGAGUAAAUAAAUAAAGAGUAACAGAUACAUAUGUUACAUGUAACUUAGUGUUUGCUGGAUAUAUGUAUAUACAUAUAAGAUCACAAAAUCAAGGAAAGAAAGACACUGAAAGGAAUCCCUAUAACGAUGGCUUCUUUAAAAUAUGUUGUUGUAUUUUCCUUAUUAAUGAAAAUAAUACUAGCGCAUUAUUAUGCUGAAUCUAUGACAGUUCCAGAUAAGCAAGCAACAGAAAGAUAUACAUUUAAUAAAAAAGCAGUGCAAGGAGAAAAUGAAGGAAGUGCAUCCAACAGAAAUGGAGGAAUUGAACUAAAUAAAGCGGAUGAAUAAGGCUAUGAACAAAGAUAUCCUGAAGAAGGACUCUUUGAAAGAGGACGUUUGAAAAAGAUAAUAAAAAGGGCCGAUGUAGAAAAGGCGAAGAGGAAAAUGGAAAGCGAUCUGAAACUGACGCAGGAAACCAUUGCCUAUCUCAAGAGAAAUAAGAAGGAAAUCGAUCCAUCAAAGAUCAACCAACGCAAAGAUAACGAAUCGCUAAUGAAGGAAUUGCAGAAAAAGAUUCAGGAACUGCAGAGCCGAAUCGAGGAACUUGAAGAAGAGGUCGAAGCAGAAAAUAAAAAAGAAGAAUAAGUUUGACC